rnacentral:sRNA from 1 species
AACAGAUGAAGAUAGAGGCUGCAGAACGUGGGGACCGGCGAAGACGGCGUUGUGAAGCAGCCUUCAAGCUGAAAGAAAUUGCACGGCGGGAGAAACAACAACGAUGGACAAGGCGUGAACAAACAGAUUUUUAUCGAGUGGUGUCUACGUUUGGUGUGGAAUAUGACCCUGACACGAUGCAGUUCCAUUGGGAUCGCUUCCGCACUUUUGCUCGACUAGACAAAAAGACAGAUGAAAGCCUUACCAAGUACUUCCAUGGCUUUGUGGCCAUGUGCCGCCAAGUAUGCCGCCUUCCCCCAGCAGCUGGAGAUGGUAAGCAAGAUUGCAGAGUGGGUGGGGGUGAAUGCGAACAGAAGCAACUCUGUUGAUUUCUUCUACUCCUGUCUCUUGCAGAACCCCCAGACCCUAAUCUCUUCAUUGAGCCCAUCACUGAGGAGAGAGCCUCACGGACUCUCUACCGUAUAGAAUUGCUUCGGCGCUUACGGGAACAAGUUUUAUGCCACCCCCUUUUGGAAGAUCGGCUGGCAUUGUGUCAGCCUCCUGGUCCUGAAUUGCCCAAAUGGUGGGAGCCUGUUCGGCAUGAUGGGGAGCUUCUAAGAGGGGCAGCCCGCCAUGGGGUGAGCCAAACAGACUGCAACAUCAUGCAGGACCCAGACUUCUCUUUUCUGGCUGCCCGUAUGAAUUAUAUGCAGAACCAUCAAGCAGGAGCACCAGCUCCAUCCUUGUCACGCUGCUCUACUCCACUGCUGCACCAGCAGUAUACCUCACGCACUGCCUCACCAUUGCCCCUGCGCCCAGAUGCUUCUGUUGAAAAGUCACCCGAGGAGACAGCUACCCAGGUCCCCAGUCUGGAGAGUCUGACUUUAAAGCUAGAGCAUGAGGUGGUGGCCAGGAGCCGACCAACCCCACAAGACUAUG